GUUCCCAUUUAUGACUCACCAGGAUCUCCAACUCAGUGACCCUAAGACACUGUAUGUCUUCCUCAUAUAAACAGCCUAGUGAUAGUACCGAUGCCUUGGGGAGAUACUGUAUUGAGACGGAGGAGAAGGAACUUCCAGGGAAGGUAUAAAAACUUAUCAGGACACAGUACAAAAAAGGAACUGAGCAAGAUGAGAUGGGUUGUUACGGCAUUGCCAAUUGCAUUUUUCUUUCCACAGUCACCACACUUAUCAGUGCCUCUUCAUUUCUUUUUACUUGGAGGAUUGAAAUAGCCUGUACCAAUACUUCCUCACUGCUCUCUUGAAUGUAAUUUUCCUGCUUAUAAAAUUCUGAGUGUCUUUCCAUGGCCAACUUAACAAUUUGUGCCUGCUUGAAUGGUAACAGCAGAUUCUUACCAGCUGAAUCUUUAUCUUCACUUACUACCUCAGCCAAGCUGGACUAUAUCCCUUCCAUAGAGAACAACCCAUCUCAUCUUGCUCAGUUCUUUAUUUUGUACUGACUCCUGAUAUGUUUUUAUACCUUCUCCUGGAGAGUUCCACCCUCCCCCUGUCUAAAUACAGUAUCUCCCUAAGGCAUUGCAUACUGUGUCCUCUGGGAUAUUUCUUCUGAAUCUCCUCCUUUUAACUGGAAUUUUUUCUAAAAAAAAUCAGACUGAUGGUUUGUUUACAGUCAAAAGACAGCAGCUCUUUAUACUUACAAUUACGUGCAGAUCCAUUAGUGAAAGCAAUUACUUUCCCAAGACGUACUGAGGACACUGAACUAGAAAUCAUAUUGCUGUUGGUUCAGUGUAAGACACUGAUGGUGAAGCCUCAUUAAAUAAUCUCUCUCACAACAGAGGAAUUCUCUUAGGACCAAAUGUGUUUCUCUCCAUGUCAGUGUCUCAUGGCUCUCAACAGAACAAACUAAUCCAAGUGUUUUCAUCCGGCAUCCCAAAUCUAAUUUUCUGCGUCUGAAUCUUACCAACAUUCUCCCCUGAACAGUGAAGAGAAUAACCUCAAGUAACAGGAAAGAUUUUCCUUGAAAUCUUAUACUGCAUUUCUUCUUCACCCAGAGCUCUCAGACACCAUUUCCCCUGGAAGGGAAUUGAAGGUGUGCGAAUGCAAACCUAGAGCUCCUGGCAGCUGUUUUGUCAUCAUGAGGGGUAAAUGACUGAGUGUGGCAUCAACAUUUAGGAAUGUAGCAUGGUAACUUCUCAUGAGAACUGCAACAAUUUUUAGAAGAAAAUAACAAUCAUCAAAUAACAAGCCUGA